rnacentral:rRNA from 1 species
CUUACGGGCUGCAGCAGUGGGGAAUAUUGCACAAUGGGCGAAAGCCUGAUGCAGCAACGCCGCGUGAGCGAUGAAGGCCUUCGGGUCGUAAAGCUCUGUCAUCAAGGAAGAUAAUGACGGGACUUGAGGAGGAAGCCCCGGCUAACUACGUGCCAGCAGCCGCGGUAAUACGUAAGGGGCUAGCGUUAUCCGGAAUUACUGGGCGUAAAGGGUGCGUAGGUGGUUUUUUAAGUCAAAAGUGAAAGGCUACGGCUCAACCGUAGUAAGCUUUUGAAACUAGAGAACUUGAGUGCAGGAGAGGAGAGUAGAAUUCCUAGUGUAGCGGUGAAAUGCGUAGAUAUUAGGAGGAAUACCAGUAGCGAAGGCGGCUCUCUGGACUGUAACUGACACUGAGGCACGAAAGCGUGGGGAGCAAACAGGAUUAGAUACCCCCGUAGUC